rnacentral:rRNA from 1 species
GACGAACGCUGGCGGCGUCCUUAACACAUGCAAGUCGAACGAAGUGGCGAACGGGUGAGUAACGCGUAAUCAACCUGCCCUUCAGUGGGGGACAACAGUUGGAAACGACUGCUAAUACAGCAUACUGAAGGAGGGGCUUGCGUCUGAUUAGCUAGUUGGUGGGGUAACGGCCCACCAAGGCGAUGAUCAGUAGCCGGUCUGGGGGGAUGAACGGCCACAAUGGGACUGAGACACGGCCCAGACUCCUACGGGAGGCAGCAGUGGGGAAUCUUCCGCAAUGGACGAAAGUCUGACGGAGCAACGCCGCGUGAGUGAUGACGGCCUUCGGGUUGUAAAGCUCUGUUAAUCGGGACGCGGUACCGGAAUAGAAAGCCACGGCUAACUACGUGCCAGCAGCCGCGGUAAUAC